rnacentral:lncRNA from 1 species
UACAUAUAUAUGCCAAAACAUUUUUAGUAUCAAAUAUUUAUAGACAGUGUAAUUAUUUUUCAUAAUAAACACAUGACAUGCACUUGGCCUACUUCAUCCUUCCUAAAUUGGGUCAUAUUGAUAAACAAUUGUCAAAUCAUAUAUAAAUAUGACAAUGUGCUGUAAUAUAUUUGUACCUUGAACUCUUAGGGUUGUAAUUACUUCUAAGUAGGCUACUCUCGGAAAUAUGAUGAUAGGAUGUGUUAGGUUAAUUGAACUUGAUUCCUAGUAAUAUUUGGCAUUUGAAACAACUUUGAGGGGAUGGCAUGCUUUUGGGAUGUGGGAUUUAGGAGGUAAAAUAAGUGGGGCUGUGGGAUGUGGGGUAAGUAAGUGAGAAUGUGAGAACAAAAGUAACAUAAACGGUUGAUACAGAGAUUUGUCAUGGCUGUCGGCAGAAAAUUAAGAAAAAAAGAUAAUCUUACAGCAACAUGCUAAUUAAGUCAAAAUUUGCCGGAAAAUUUAGGGUGGGGUAGGGGGGCCUUGAAAGAUUUAUCUUUGUCUAUUAUUUGAUGUUCCUAUCAAACAAACUUAUUCAAAGAAUGAAAUCUCUCAAUAGAAAAUAGGGAAUUAAUUGAAAAUUACUGGACCAUGAGGCUGAAAACGCCACACAUAUGUUUGGGAAAUGAGCAUUCCUGUGUUACCCCUAUGAAAUAUCAGGUUGAAUGCAAUUUUAGGUAAAAAAAUG